rnacentral:rRNA from 1 species
UGGGGAAUUUUGCACAAUGGGGGAAACCCUGAUGCAGCGACGCCGCGUGAUUUAGAAGGCCUUCGGGUUGUAAAAAUCUUUUUUACGGGAUGAAAAUGACAGUACCGUAAGAAUAAGGUCCGGCUAAAUACGUGCCAGCAGCCGCGGUAAUACGUAUGGACCGAGCGUUGUCCGGAAUCAUUGGGCGUAAAGGGUACGUAGGCGGCCUAGUAAGUUAGAAGUGAAAUAAUAUAGCUCAACUAUAUAAAGCUUUUAAAACUGCUAGGCUUGAGAGAUGGAAGGGAAAGUGGAAUUCCUAGUGUAGCUGUGAAAUGCGCAGAUAUUAGGAAGAAUACCGGUGGCGAAGGCGACUUUCUGGUCAUCAUCUGACGCUGAGGUACGAAAGCGUGGGUAGCAAACAGG